rnacentral:lncRNA from 1 species
GUGUUGGUAUCUGUACUGAUGGCGCAAAAGCCAUGACAAGGAGACAUAGUGGAGUGGUAACGUUGCUCCUGACACCACUUGGGUACACUGCAGCAUCCACCGAGAGGCUCUUGCUGCCAAGGGAAUGCCUGACAGCUUGAAAGACGUUUUGGAUACUACAGUGAAAAUGGUUAACUUUGUUAAAGCAAGGCCCCUGAACUCUCGUGUAUUUUCUGCAUUAUGCAAUGAUAUGGGCAGCAACCAUGUAACGCUUUUACAACAUACAGAAGUGCGCUGGUUAUCAAGGGGCAAAGUAUUGACACUUUUUUGUUAAUUGAGAGACGAGCUUAAAGUUUUUUUUACUGACCAUCAUUUUCACUUGUCUGACGGCUUGCAUGAUGACGAGUUUCUCACACGACUGGCCUAUCUGGGUGAUGUUUUUUCUCGCCUGAAUGAUCUGAAUCUAGGAUUACAGGGACUCUCCGCAACUAUAUUCAAUGUGCGGGACAAAAUUGAGGCUAUGAUUAAGAAGUUGAAGCUCUUCUCUGUCUGCAUUAACAAGGACAACACACAGGUCUUCCAUCAUUUUAUGAUUUUUUUGUGUGCAAAUGAACUCAAGCUUACGGACAAUGUCAAAUGUGAUAUAGUGAAGCACCUGAGGGAGCUGGGUGCACAAUUACGCAGGUACUUUCCCGAAACGGAUGACACAAACAACUGGAUUCGUUAUCCCUUUCAUGCCCUGCCUCCAGUCCACUUACUGAUAUCUGAACAGGACAGCCUCAUUGAAAUUGCAGCAAGCGGUUUUGUGAAAAUUUAAUUUAUUCAGAAGCCACUGCCAGAUUUCUGGAUUGGGCUGCGCUCAGAGUAUCCUGCCUUGGUAAAUCGCACUAUAAAGACACUGAUGCCCUUUGCAACCACGUACCUAUGUGAGAGUGGAUUCUCAGCCCUCACUAGAAUGAAAACUAAAUACAGGCACAGACUGUGUGGAAAAUGAUUUAAGACUGAGACUCUCUACAAUACAACCCAACAUCGCAGAGUUAUGUGCAUCCUUUCAAGCACACCGUUCUCAUUAACCUGUGUGCACUCCCAUAGGGUUCGACAAGGAGUCAUAGGAGGGAAAGUUUCAGAUGGAUGGAGAGGAAUACAAUGGAUGGAUGGAGAGAUACAAUGAGGAUGAGAAUUGGCAGAAUGACCAGUACACGGCCUGACCACUGCGUAGGUACUGACAAAGAGAUAGGCAUACUUCAGCCAGUAGGUUUGCAUUGCUCUGGUGUGACAAUAGUGGCUGUUGGUGUGGCAUUUCUUCUGGACAAUAGCUGCUAUGCAGCAGCAGUUUGGAGUUAGAUCCCAAUGUUCUGACCUUGUGAUCUGUUUUAUUGUAUCCAACUCAGAGAUUCUAUGAGCAGCACUGUCUGAGUCACACCAUUAUCUGAAGGUUAUAUCUAUAGUCCAUGCUGAAAUAUCAAGAUCACAAAAAACUUUCUGAAUUGAAAUAUAACUGACCCCAACCCUCAUCCUCUGAGACAGUAGCCUACUAUUGGUCUAAUAGAGAAGAAUCCUCAGAUCACUGUAAUGCCUAGUCAUUCAGCUUCAUGGGAAGUGCAGAUGUCAACCAAAGUAUUGAGAUCUUGUCAGUAUGAUUUCAGUUGUUACUUGUUGCAGAAAAUAACUGACCUUGACUUGGUGCAUAUAAUACAUCAAACACACACACCUGAAUGGGCUACAUAAUUGAAUGUGGCACCUGAAUAGUCUACAGCAUGUGCUAAAUUGGAUAUAUUGCUACAUUGUUGUUGCAAUAAUUCUCUCCUUCUGUCAAUUUCCUGCCUUAUUAAAUU